GAUGAACGCUAGCUACAGGCUUAACACAUGCAAGUCGAGGGGCAGCAUGGUCUUAGCUUGCUAAGGCCGAUGGCGACCGGCGCACGGGUGAGUAACACGUAUCCAACCUGCCGUCUACUCUUGGACAGCCUUCUGAAAGGAAGAUUAAUACAAGAUGGCAUCAUGAGUCCGCAUGUUCACAUGAUUAAAGGUAUUCCGGUAGACGAUGGGGAUGCGUUCCAUUAGAUAGUAGGCGGGGUAACGGCCCACCUAGUCUUCGAUGGAUAGGGGUUCUGAGAGGAAGGUCCCCCACAUUGGAACUGAGACACGGGCCAAACUACUACGGGAGGCAGCAGUGAGGAAUAUUGGUCAAUGGGCGCAGGCCUGAACCAGCCAAGUAGCGUGAAGGAUGACUGCCCUAUGGGUUGUAAACUUCUUUUAUAAAGGAAUAAAGUCGGGUAUGUAUGCCCGUUUGCAUGUACUUUAUGAAUAAGGAUCGGCUAACUCCGUG
rnacentral:rRNA from 1 species